AAAGGAAGUAGAUUUGCAUGAAGAGCCUCUCCUUCCUAUGAUAAGAGAGGCCUUGGGGCUGCUCCUUAGCUGUGGGCUCAGAGGCAGAGCUCUGGGGUGUCUCCACCAUGGCCUGGACCCCGCUCCUGCUCACCCUCACUCUCUGCACAGGUUCUGUGGUUUCUUCUGAGCUGACGCAGGACCCUGCAGUGUCUGUGGCCUUGGGACAGACAGCCAGGAUUACCUGCCAGGGAGGUGGCAUAGGAACCUAUUAUGCAAACUGGUACCAGCAGAAACAGGGCCAGGCCCCUGUGCUGGUCAUCUAUGGUAACAACUACCGGCCCUCAGGGAUCCCAGACCGAUUCUCUGGCUCCAGCUCAGGAAACACAGCUUCCUUGACCAUCACCGGGGCUCAGGUGGAAGAUGAGGCUGACUAUUACUGCCAAUCAGCAGACAGCAGUGGUACUCAUCCCACAGUGACACAGACAGAUGGGGAAGUGAGACAGAAACCCCUUCCCUCUCUGUGUCACCCUCUCUCUCCAGCCCCAGCAGGACUGUGAACAAAGCCAUAAGCAGGCCUGGCCCAGUUCACCUGGAUCUGAGACCUUCAGGCUGCCCUUCCCUCCAGACCUCCAGGCAGGCUCUGCAGAAGGUGGGUCAGGAUAGGAUUGGAGGCUGGAAGGACCACGCUGUUCUGGUGUUGUUUGGACUGAGUGUGUCUUGGCUCAAGAUGCCCUGAGUGGAAGGACAGUAAGAGGGAGACAGACAGCCAUGGAGUGUCCAUGGUCUCUGGAGUUCCUCUUGUGUGGUGACUGGAUCUAACGCGAUGCCUGUACUCUGUGGCCCAAAUACCCUGGAUUAUUUCUCUGAACUGUGCAUGUUUAACUGAGACCCUCAAGCCCCAGCUCCAUGCAUCCUGAUGUUCUGAACAGGAAAGCCUUUCCUAGUGAGCACUGUGGCAUCACGUGGCAUUG